CAGCAGCCGCGGGAAUACGUAGGGUGCGAGCGUUAAUCGGAAUUACUGGGCGUAAAGCGUGCGCAGGCGGUUAUAUAAGACAGAUGUGAAAUCCCCGGGCUCAACCUGGGACCUGCAUCUGUGACUGUAUAGCUAGAGUACGGUAGAGGGGGGUGGAAUUCCGCGUGUAGCAGUGAAAUGCGUAGAUAUGCGGAGGAACACCAAUGGCGAAGGCAAUCCCCUGGACCUGUACUGACGCUCAUGCACGAAAGCGUGGGGAGCAAACAGGAUUAGAUACCCGCGUAGUCCCUGUCUCUUAUAC
rnacentral:rRNA from 1 species